UAUUUGUGCCUAUAUUCUAGGAUAUUUGCCACAAUGACAAUAUUACACUAACCAAACUGACUUCAUAUUUUUAUCUUUUAGACUCUUGUCCGUCACAUAAGAACCUUGGAGAGCAGCUUCACUGGAAGCUUCAGAACACAGCACAACGAGGAGGUGAUAGCUGCAGUGGUUCAAACAGUGAAAGAUGCAGAACCAAACUGGAGCUUCCACCAAGAGCUUGUAAUUGAGCUUUUGAGAACCAAAAGUGCCAAGAGCGAAUGGAGAGAGAUGGCAGCAAGGAAGGUGUCAAUAGGAGGAAACUCCUGACCAGUAGACCUCAUCGGGUCUUCAGAAAGCGAGAAGGUUCUCAAUUAAGAGGACCUGUUAUUCAUCCAAGGAGCCAAUCCAGACUAUGUCAGCGAUGAGGAAAGCAACAAGGAAAAGACUGCAUAUUAUUAUGCCACACCAAAGUGGCGCUCCAUUCGGCUAACCAGACUGAUGUCAAAAUGCCAAAAAGCCUUGGAUGACAACAGAAAAAAGGAAUAGAGCCAAGAUCCACACACAUAAGACACUCAGCUGGUUUUAGUAAGAGGAACCCACCCCGUAAAGAGCUGCUAUCUAGCAGUGGAGUGCGAUUUGGACUCUAAAAAAAAAGUUGUUUGUGUAGUGUUGU